ACCCAAUAUUAUAUAGCUCAGUUGGUACAGCAGGAGACUCUGAAUCUUACAGUCAUGGGUUAGAGCCCCACACUGGGCG